GCUACCGACUUAGGUUCGGACCUAUGAGGUCACACACAUUAGAGUUCAUGAUCCGAUCAGAUGGUUGAUCAACGAUUAAGAAUCAUUCUAGGGUUAAAUGAUCAAUACGAUUGACAUUUAACCCAGUGCAAGUGUUACAAGAGGAUCGAUUAGCAAUUCGAUUGCUAAUUGGCUUAAUUUGAUUAAGCCAAUGGGCUGAGAUUAAGUCUAAUUAAAUAUGAUUUAAUUAGAUUUGGUUUGGGCUUGAUUGGAUCAAGUCCAAUUGGUUUG
rnacentral:lncRNA from 1 species